CAGCGAGCUGUUGGACUGGUUAGGCAGAACACUUCUACAGCCAGAGAGGGGCAGUCAAGAAAUGGAACGACAAGGCCACAGAACAUGACAUAAACAGAGCUGUGGGAGACCACCUCAAGCCCCUGGUAGAGCCUGGGGUGGUGUUUACCACUCCACCACGCCUUCAGCAGGCUGGAAAAGUGGGAUUGAUCUGUUUGUUUCAAUUGUCAGAAAUUUAAUUAUUUGACAUGGGAUUGGUACUGAUUUUCAUACUAAGAGGGACCAAUAGUCUGAUGAUUGGUCAGUCAUUGGGUUCAUUUGUUGAAGUCAAAUCAAACUUUAUUUAUACAGACAUGGAUGCAACACAAUGGCUUCACAGGAAAAAACAAUGAAAAUAAGCAGAAAUAUUUAGUACAGAAGAUAAGAGGAUAAAAAACAGAAGACUAAUGAGCAUUUAUGGAAAUGCCAUUGAUUACAUUAUAAAUUGGAUGCAACAUCCAACCCAACAUAUAAGCUUGUUUUCUAGGUUGGGUUCUGAAAGACACUAUGGGGGUGUCCACUGAAAGUUGACUAGUAACAACAACUGGGACCUAAAAGACACCCACCAUGAGACCCACUAAAUUUACCCAAGAAGAGGAAAACAAAAGAAAAACCCACACCAAACUUAGACAGGAAGCAAACCAAAAAGGUGGUUAAAAUAAUUUAUUACAAUCAAUACCAUUCAUACUAUUACAAAAUCAUAAUUCUCAUUCAUUCUUAAUUAAUUCUAUUUACAAAAACAUCAAACAAAAACAAACCUCAGGGGAGCAUCGUCCCUCCCCGUCAUACCUAACCAAUACCUAACCCUUUCCCUAUCUCCCCUUCCCUAAUCUAUCCCCUUACCAAACUCACUCUAA
ensembl:lncRNA